UGGGGAAUAUUGGACAAUGGGCGCAAGCCUGAUCCAGCCAUGCCGCGUGAGUGAUGAAGGCCCUAGGGUUGUAAAGCUCUUUCAGCGAGGAGGAUAAUGACGUUACUCGCAGAAGAAGCCCCGGCUAACUUCGUGCCAGCAGCCGCGGUAAUACGAAGGGGGCUAGCGUUGUUCGGAAUCACUGGGCGUAAAGCGCACGUAGGCGGACUUUUAAGUCAGGGGUGAAAUCCCGGGGCUCAACCUCGGAACUGCCUUUGAUACUGGAAGUCUGGAGUCCGAGAGAGGUGAGUGGAACUCCGAGUGUAGAGGUGAAAUUCGUAGAUAUUCGGAAGAACACCAGUGGCGAAGGCGGCUCACUGGCUCGGUACUGACGCUGAGGUGCGAAAGCGUGGGGAGUAAACAGGAUUAGAUACCCUGGUAGUCCACGCCGUAAACGAUGGAAGCUAGCCGUCAGGGUGCAUGCAUCUUGGUGGCGCAGUUAACGCAUUAAGCUUCCCGCCUGGGGAGUACGGUCGCAAGAUUAAAACUUAAAUGAAUUGACGGGGUCAUAGCUGUUUCCU
rnacentral:rRNA from 1 species